rnacentral:misc_RNA from 1 species
GAUGAAGAACGCAGCGAAAUGCGAUAAGUAAUGCGAAUUGCAGAAUUUCCGUGAGUCAUCGAAUCUUUGAACGCACAUUGCGCCCACUGGUAUUCCGAGGGGCAUGCCUGUUCGAGCGUCAUUAUAACCCCUCAAGCUCAGCUUGGUGUUGGGGCCUGCUGCACUGGCAGCCCUUAAAAUCAGUGGCGGCGCCAUCUGGCUCUAAGCGUAGUAAUUCUUCUCGCUAUGGAGUCCUGGUGGAUGCUUGCCAUCAACCCGCAAUUUUUCUAUGGUUGACCUCGGAUCAGGUAGGGAUACCCGCUGAACUUAAGCAUAUCAAUAAGCGGAGGA